rnacentral:rRNA from 1 species
UACGGAGGGUGCGAGCGUUGUCCGGAAUCAUUGGGCGUAAAGGGCGCGUAGGUGGCUUCUUAAGCGUGCGGUGAAAGCCUAGGGCUCAACCCCGGGUCGGCCGUGCGAACUGGGGGGCUGGAGCACUGUAGAGGCAGGCGGAAUUCCGGGUGUAGCGGUGGAAUGCGUAGAGAUCCGGAAGAACACCGGUGGCGAAGGCGGCCUGCUGGGCAGUUGCUGACACUGAGGCGCGACAGCGUGGGGAGCAAACAGG